UCCCUGGUGGCUCAGAGUUUAAAGUGUCCGCCUGCAAUGCGGGAGACCUGGGUUCAAUCCCUGGGUCGGGAA
rfam:Ovis aries breed Texel chromosome 10, whole genome shotgun sequence.